GAACUUCUGGGGUGCAUGACAACUCCUGUGAUUUUGAACCUACAUUUAUUUUCAUGGGAUACCGAUAUCUAUAAGCGGAUGCCAGGCCUGCAUAGACUGGAAGGCAGAUUCUUAUGUGUGGAAGCCCACCUAGCUUGGCUAGGACUCAAAAUACAGGAACCGGCAUUUCCGGUUGUUCU
rnacentral:other from 1 species